UUAUCACUCAAUUGAGUUUUUAGACGUACAAAUAACAAUUAAUGAUAUGAACAAAAUCACUGUACACGAAGCCAAUGGCUAAAAAUGUUUUUUUACACUACGAAUCAAACCACCCAAAAUCUCUCAUUGAAUCUCUUCCGUACUGUCAAGCAUUACGUAUAAAAAAGAUAUGUUCCGAUCCUGAAAAUGCUGUGAAACAAAUUGAUAUGUUAUUCGGAAAAUUUUCAAAACGGGGUUAUCCUUUGAAUGUACUACAUAAAUGUUUAUUGAAAAUUAAUCAGAUAAGCAGACAUGAUAUUCUUAAGCCAAAAACUCAACUUGUGAUAAAGCAUUUAAAACAUAAUAAUCCUACUGUGUUAUGUAAAUAUACCAAUGUCAACUUACAUGAAAAAGAGAUGCAUGAAAAAGUGUUUAUUGUCAUGCCGUUCUACAAGAAUAUGUAUGGUUUUAAGAAAUUAUUUAUAGAUUUUAUUGUAUGUGAAGCAAAGAAAGGUCAAAAUGUAAAAUAUAAACAAAUAUUAACAAACCUUAAUUUAAUUAUAUCUUACAAAAAAACUACCCAACUAAAAAGGUACACUGGCCAGCAACAUAAAACUGGAUAACAGUAUCAAUUUGUACUCAACUCGAGGCGUAACAUAUGAAAAAAAUAUUUGCCCAAAAAAAGUUUAAGAAACUUGUAAACAACUUAUAAACAUUUUUAAAAAACAAACUAUAACAAGUCACUCAGCAGCCUGAAGAAGCUGUACUUUAUGGCGAAACCGGUCGCAGCUGGUGAAUAAAUCAGAUUAUUUGUCAAUCAGUUGGAAGUGUUUUCUUCACACCUUCAAAGUUUAAAAACAUAUUAUACCAAAAUUUUAGACUUCUAGAACCCAUUUUUUACCAUUUGAAGGCCAAAAUGCCCCCAUCACCAUUAUUUCCCAUGGGCUCUCCAUUAAGAUAUCAUGAGAUAUUCAGUGUAACGAAUGUACACCGAAAUUGGAUCUAAACCCUGUUGCAAUAAGGUAUCGGCUAAAAAAUUAAUGGAAAACCUACCGUAUAAGAAAUUCUUCUCAUAUUAUGUACCCAUCAUCCAACCCGACUAUAAAUAAAACUUUGCAAUACAAAUGUAA